rnacentral:rRNA from 1 species
AUUGAACGCUGGCGGCAUGCCUUACACAUGCAAGUCGAGCGGGGUUUUCGGACCUAGCGGCGGACGGGUGAGUAAUGCGUAGGAAGCUACCCGAUAGAGGGGGAUACCAGUUGGAAACGACUGUUAAUACCGCAUAAUGUCUACGGACCAAAGUGUGGGACCUUCGGGCCACAUGCUAUCGGAUGCGCCUGCGUGGGAUUAGCUAGUGGGUGAGGUAAUGGCUCACUAAGGCAACGAUCUCUAGCUGGUGUGAGAGGAUGAUCAGCCACACUGGAACUGAGACACGGUCCAGACUCCUACGGGAGGCAGCCGUGGGGAAUAUUGGACAAUGGGCGAAAGCCUGAUCCAGCCAUGCCGCGUGUGUGAAGAAGGCCUUCGGGUUGUAAAGCACUUUCAGUAGGGAGGAAGCGUUGUGUGUUAAUAGUACACAGCGUUGACGUUACCUACAGAAGAAGCACCGGCUAACUCUGUGCCAGCCGCCGCCGUAAUAC